CUCGGAGGCGGCCCCGGCCAUCGCAGGUCGAAGAUUCAGAAUGGAUAAUGAAGCCUCUGUGCCCAUCAGGAAAGGCCUCCUCUGGAUCCAGAGCCACCCUGAAUGUUCCCAAGGGCUGCAGUGUGGAUUUUUCAUUCCCAAGGCAUACCAGGAUGGAGGAAGAGGAAAAGCCCUGGAAAUUCUGCACAAGGAGGGACUGCAAACCCAGCCCAGGGAGCUGUGUGGAGGAAAGACCCACCUUGUGAUGGGAAGGUGGACAGAUAUCGAGCUGGAGGAGAAGCUACACAAGUGCCUGGAAUGUGGGAAGGGUUUCAGCUAGAUCUCCAACCUGAUCUGGAACCAGGAAACCCACUCUGUAGGAAAGUCCUACGAGUGUGGGGAAUGUGGGAUGAACCUCAGGAACAUCCCUACUCUGUCUGAACAUCAGGUGAUCCAUGCUGGGGAACAGCCCUACAUCUGCUUGGAAUGUCAGAAGAGAUCUGGGUGGACCUCUGCCCUGAGAAAACACCAGCACAUCCACAAUGGGGAGAGGCCCCACGAGUGCCCCGAGUGUGGGAAGAGCUUCGUGCGCUGCUCCAGCUCCAUCCCCCAUGGAAGGAUCCAUGUUGGAUGAUCCCCAGGGAUCCCUGUUGGGCAGAGCCCUGGGGAUUCCUGUUCCAGGUGACCCCUAUUGGGUUUAGAGAAGGUGUUAGAGAGA